GAUGAACGCUGGCGGCGUGCCUAAUACAUGCAAGUCGAGCGAACAGACGAGGAGCUUGCUCCUCUGACGUUAGCGGCGGACGGGUGAGUAACACGUGGAUAACCUACCUAUAAGACUGGGAUAACUUCGGGAAACCGGAGCUAAUACCGUAUAAUAUAUUGAACCGCAUGGUUCAAUAGUGAAAGACGGUUUUGCUGUCACUUAUAGAUGGAUCCGCGCCGCAUUAGCUAGUUGGUAAGGUAACGGCUUACCAAGGCAACGAUGCGUAGCCGACCUGAGAGGGUGAUCGGCCACACUGGAACUGAGACACGGUCCAGACUCCUACGGGAGGCAGCAGUAGGGAAUCUUCCGAAAUGGGCGAAAGCCUGACGGAGCAACGCUGCGUGAGUGAUGAAGGUCUUCGGAUCGUAAAACUCUGUUAUUAGGGAAGAACAAAUGUGUAAGUAACUAUGCACGUCUUGACGGUACCUAAUCAGAAAGCCACGGCUAACUACGUG
rnacentral:rRNA from 1 species